GAUGAACGCUGGCGGCGUGCCUAAUACAUGCAAGUCGAGCGAACGGACGAGAAGCUUGCUUCUCUGAUGUUAGCGGCGGACGGGUGAGUAACACGUGGAUAACCUACCUAUAAGACUGGGAUAACUUCGGGAAACCGGAGCUAAUACCGGAUAAUAUUUUGAACCGCAUGGUUCAAAAGUGAAAGACGGUCUUGCUGUCACUUAUAGAUGGAUCCGCGCUGCAUUAGCUAGUUGGUAAGGUAACGGCUUACCAAGGCAACGAUGCAUAGCCGACUUGAGAGGGUGAUCGGCCACACUGGAACUGAGACACGGUCCAGACUCCUACGGGAGGCAGCAGUAGGGAAUCUUCCGCAAUGGGCGAAAGCCUGACGGAGCAACGCCGCGUGAGUGAUGAAGGUCUUCGGAUCGUAAAACUCUGUUAUUAGGGAAGAACAUAUGUGUAAGUAACUGUGCACAUCUUGACGGUACCUAACCAGAAAGCCACGGCUAACUACGUG
rnacentral:rRNA from 1 species